CGUAAUGAUGGCCAGGCUGUCUCCACCCGAGACUCAGUGAAAUUGAACUCGCUGUGAAGAUGCAGUGUACCCGCGGCAAGACGGAAAGACCCCGUGAACCUUUACUAUAGCUUGACACUGAACAUUGAGCCUUGAUGUGUAGGAUAGGUGGGAGGCUUUGAAGUGUGGACGCCAGUCUGCAUGGAGCCGACCUUGAAAUACCACCCUUUAAUGUUUGAUGUUCUAACGUGGACCCGUAAUCCGGGUUGCGGACAGUGUCUGGUGGGUAGUUUGACUGGGGCGGUCUCCUCCUAAAGAGUAACGGAGGAGCACGAAGGUUGGCUAAUCCUGGUCGGACAUCAGGAGGUUAGUGCAAUGGCAUAAGCCAGCUUGACUGCGAGCGUGACGGCGCGAGCAGGUGCGAAAGCAGGUCAUAGUGAUCCGGUGGUUCUGAAUGGAAGGGCCAUCGCUCAACGGAUAAAAGGUACUCCGGGGAUAACAGGCUGAUACCGCCCAAGAGUUCAUAUCGACGGCGGUGUUUGGCACCUCGAUGUCGGCUCAUCACAUCCUGGGGCUGAAGUAGGUCCCAAGGGUAUGGCUGUUCGCCAUUUAAAGUGGUACGCGAGCUGGGUUUAGAACGUCGUGAGACAGUUCGGUCCCUAUCUGCCGUGGGCGCUGGAGAACUGAGGGGGGCUGCUCCUAGUACGAGAGGACCGGAGUGGACGCAUCACUGGUGUUCGGGUUGUCAUGCCAAUGGCACUGCCCGGUAGCUAAAUGCGGAAGAGAUAAGUGCUGAAAGCAUCUAAGCACGAAACUUGCCCCGA
rnacentral:rRNA from 2 species